GAUCUCUCAGGGGCAAGCAUGUUUCUCUUGGAUAAGAGUGGGGUGAAAGGCACUAUCGAAGUCUGAAUGCUGGUUGCAGAAGAUAAUUUGAAGAAUGGGAACAUUAAGCCAUACUCAUUCAACCUACUCUUUAAGAGUUUGACAGGAGGGCCUAUACCUGCAUAUGCUCCCACCUCCAUCCCAAGGGGAAAAAGAUGUCAAUGGAUGUUAGUAUAAGCUUCCUGAAGACCAACUCUCAAACAGACAAAUUUUGGACAAAAUAUGAAAAACACCUGCCUAAAGAUCUGGAGAGUAGUCAUCCGCAGGCACAGUGUUGAAGGGAGUCAAUGUGGAGAAGCAAAUAGCAAAGGGAUGCGGACUUUCAGAGUUACAAGAGAAUUCAUGGAUUCCCUCCUCUGCCUCUUCAAGAAUCUGAUCCAUGGCCUACUUGACAGAUGACCUUCCUGCCUCUGCUUGAAUAUCUCCAGGGAUGGGAAGCUCACCACUAGUUGAGCCAGUUACCGACACAUGGCUUUGAAGAGCUAUAUGACUCCCUAUAAUUCUAACAGACUACUGGGACUGGGUUUUAGGAUUGUCUCUCCCAUUAGAGAACUGGUAACUUUGGAACUGGAACUUUUAAGAUCAGUGUAGACUUGGAUGGGGUUCAAGAUUCUAGUGCCUGCCACCAGUCUGCUCAUUCUCUUGAGAUAAGCUCAAAUACAUCAGUAAUAAAGUAAUGAUUCUGACCUUCAACCCCAGAGAUACUCAUUAACUCCAAGUUGGGGUCUGAGUAGAGUGAUUGAGACAUUACCCUUACUACCAUUUCUAGACUUGGCCUUACCAAAUUGAGCAACCGUAUCAUCAGACAGAAAGCUGAACUCAUCUCAAUCCCUCUACUUGACAUCUUAUUUUGCAGCAAUUUUAAAGUCUUGGAUUGAAAGAAAAGGCUUUGUAGUCAUUUAUAGUUUUCUGAAUACUCCAGAGAGUUCAUACUGUAAUACAUCCUGUGCCAUCUAUGAUGGUCCUCAAAUGGCCAUGGAUGGAGGUGGUCAGAAGGUUGCAGUCCCACGAUGUCAAUGAUGAAGAUGAGGUCAUGGUUAAUCAAGACUUGGCUCAGAUCAAGCUCUGGUAGAAGAAGCAUGAGAAGCACUCCAGCUUGAAUAAAUCCCUUGCCUUUCCAGUCCAGGGUUAUAACACUUGGCGACCAUCAGAGCCCUGUUAAUUGACUUGGACAUCCAUGCAGUUACUUAAUCAGUAGGUUCAAUCAUCUGGGGUUUUAACAACUUUUAAUCAUUCAGUAUACGAUCCCUGUAGGUCCUGCCAAGACACAGUUUUAAGAGAGAGGAAACAGAGUAAUGGAAGCAAGAUUGUGAACAAGAAGGUCACCUUGUAUCUUGUUUUACAUAGAAGCUUAAACUCUAGAGCUGUAUUUAUGUUGGUAUUGCGCUGAUCUUG
rnacentral:lncRNA from 1 species